GUCAUGAAAGGCCACGAUCACAGGGCCCGACUCGUCGGCAGAGCCCCGUCCACGGUGGCUGGUGUUCUUGCUGCUCAUUUCAUUGGAGGCACCGCAGUCUCUACAGAGUCAAGUGAGGAGCUAACCCAGAGCCGGGCGGGGCUCCCAGGCCCUGGAUUCCUGCAGACCCAAGUCCAGGCAAUGACUCCUUUGGAAUGACAUUCCUUGGGUCCAUGGAGCGUGUUUGAGGCGUGGACUGCAUUUGCCAGUGACCCGGGCUGGGGAGCAGAGCACAGCGAAGACCCAGGAAGCUUCCCCGGAUGACAAAUACGUGCUGCCAGUGGACACGAGCCCACCGCCACCCCCUCCUCCUGCCCCGAAGGCUGGACACUCAUCCAAAGGAUUCCAGCGACGCUGUCGGUAACGAGAGCCCCAAGAUGUCCUCUCUGGGCGGAGGCGUCACGGGUUCUGCCUUCCCAGAAAAGCACCUUUGCUCCAGGGGGAGCUCGCCCUGGGACCGAGGAAGACGGGCCGUGUCCAGUUAUGGAUUCUUGGAAUCAAAAACAAAGCUGAUGUGUCCUGAGCUUCGGAGUAUGUGGCAGCCACUUUUCUGAGGACCCUUUUCAUCCUUACAACAGCCCCGAUGGAGGUCCUAUUAUUAUCUCCAUUUUACAGACGAGAAAACAAAGUUCAAAGAAGCAAAGUGACUUGCCUGAACAUCCCAGGGCUGCAGCAGCAGAAUCCAGGUUGACAGCGAAGUGGGGAAGGUUCAGCCUGAAAGGAGGCCCCAGUCAGGCUCCGUCGCUCACUCCCGUUACCGCCUCGGCAUCCACUGGGGCGAACCACCCCUCCAGCCUCACUGUCCCACCGAACCCUGUGGAAGCCUCUUCUUCCCAGACCCCACCCCAGCGGGAACAUUUUGUGACUUAGCUGAUGAAAACACACCAAUGCUUUUCAAAUAUUACUUUAGAUUUUCGAACUCA